GGCCUGGCUUGGCGGUCUGCCUUCGGUAUGUACUGCUCUCGCUGGGUCUUUCCUUCUGGAGAGGCGGCAUGUCCUUCAUUGGGUGUGUCGUGGAUCCAGGACUUUUACUUUGAAAAAAUUAGAGUGUUUAAAGCAGGCUAUCGCUUGAAUAGAUUAGCAUGGAAUAAUAGAAUAGGACGCGUGGUUCUAUUUUGUUGGUUUCUAGGAUCACCGUA
rnacentral:rRNA from 1 species